GACGAACGCUGGCGGCGUGCCUAAUACAUGCAAGUAGAACGCUGAAGGAGGAGCUUGCUCUUCUGGAUGAGUUGCGAGCGGGUGAGUAACGCGUAGGUAACCUGCCUGGUAGCGGGGGAUAACUAUUGGAAACGAUAGCUAAUACCGCAUAACAGUAGAUGUUGCAUGACAUUUACUUAAAAGGUGCAAUUGCAUCACUACCAGAUGGACCUGCGUUGUAUUAGCUAGUUGGUGGGGUAACGGCUCACCAAGGCGACGAUACAUAGCCGACCUGAGAGGGUGAUCGGCCACACUGGGACUGAGACACGGCCCAGACUCCUACGGGAGGCAGCAGUAGGGAAUCUUCGGCAAUGGACGGAAGUCUGACCGAGCAACGCCGCGUGAGUGAAGAAGGUUUUCGGAUCGUAAAGCUCUGUUGUAAGAGAAGAACGAGUGUGAGAGUGGAAAGUUCACACUGUGACGGUAUCUUACCAGAAAGGGACGGCUAACUACGUG
rnacentral:rRNA from 1 species